UCUAACUGCCUUUCUCUCUUUCCCAGAAAUUAGCCCAUGCCUGUCUAUAGCUGACAGGCUCUUACUAUAAAAGUGAGAGCACACAGAUGUAGGAGAGGAGCAAACCCAGGCCCUUUCCCUGGCAACUACAAGAGUCCCACAUUGUAACCCAGAACCAAGCUAACAUCAACUCACAGAGAUACCCCUGCCUCGGAGUGCUGGGAUUACAGGUAAAAAGGUGUGGACAUGUUGGAGAAUGCCUUCAAUCCAAGCAUUGGGUGAGUAGACAGGACUAUCUACCAGGCUCUCUAACCAAACCACCUACCUUAACCAGGGAGCACAGGUCCCAAUGACACCCUGCCUCAAAACCAAGAUGGCACUUAAGGAAUGAUGACACCUAAGGCCACACCCAUAUACACACCAAAAUGAAUUUUAAGAAAUUCUUUUUUACUUCUUAUUAACCAACCAUUACUCAAAGCCCAUUGUACUCCAUAAUUUUCUCACAUGAACUCCCCUGUUCGUUCUAAUACCACAGGUUGAGUGGGUCAUUGUGAGUACUGGUGUCCUCCUCCUGAGAGUAACCAGGUUAUAUUCAGGGUUUUGCCAAAACACAUAAACCUGCAAUAAUAUUGUACACAUAUCCUUGUGUGUUGGGUUUAUUUAUUUAUUUAUUUAUUUAUUUAUUUUUGGUAUCUGUGGGUUUUCCUACACCUGGAUUGCUGCUUCACAGAUGCCAAAAAUCUUCAGCAGCCUCACAGAGUAAAAAAAGAAAGUGUCUACAGACCACUACCUGCCAGGUCCAUUCCCCCUGCCCUUUAUCUUAGUCAAUAACAUUUAAUCCAACUCAAAUACCUUGGUUGUCAUUCUUCCUUUUUUUUUAAUUUGUUUUUUUUGGGGGGUGGGGGAGGGACUGUUUGUUGUUGUUUUGUUUUGUUUUUUGAGAUAGACUCUCAUCAUGUAGCCCUGGCUGGCCUGGAACUCACUCUGUAAACCAGGCUGGCUUCAGACUCCCAGAGAUCCACCUGUCUCUCACUUGACCUUCUUUAUGAGCAUGUACAUUUCUAGGUGACUUCCUCUGUCAUGAGUCAUGUGGGUCAGGGCACCACAAUGACUCCCCUUAACCUUGAUUAUUAUCAUUAAAGGGCCUGUCUCCAAACACAUUCAUGCUGGAGAUAUGGAUGGGGGGAUGGGCAGAACACAGACUAACACAUGCAGAAACAGUGUAUUAUGUCAUUUCAUUUCUCUCUCUCUCUUUUUUUUUUGUUUGUAUGAUUGUUGUUUUGACACAGAGUCUCAUCUGCAGCCCAGGCUGGCCUUAAUCUUUUUUUUUUUUUUAAACCUUUCUAUCUCAGCAUCAAAAGCACUAGGACUAGCCAGGCAUAGUAGCACAUGCCUUGAAUCAUAGCACUCAGGAAGAAGAGAUAGGUGGGUCCAGGCCAGCCUGGUCUACAUAGGAGAG